UCCCUUCUUUGUGGAUUUUAGGCUCUGAUCCUGCUUGCAGAGCUCUGGUAUAAAUAAGGGAUCAGUUUUUUUUCUGCUCACUAGAGACAAGCAGGCUGCUGCUAUUUCAUUGGAGAUUCUGAAGCACCAGGAAUCAUCAAGCCAUGAAGAUCUGCUUUCUUCUCAUGGUUUCUGUCUUCUUGACCAUCCAGGUCCAAGCUCAGAUGAGAGAAUUGCUGCUGACUCAGGAAGAGGCUAUGCCUGAGAGCCAAUUUCCUGAAACAAAAGAUUCAGAUAUAAUGGCUUCAGAUGCUCAGCAGAGAAAAACUGUUACCUGCUAUUGUAGAAUUAGCUGCCUUUUCCAGGAAACAAAUUCUGGAACUUGCCAGAUCAAUGGUGUAUCUUAUCCGCUAUGCUGUAAAUAACUCAAAGAACUUCUUGAACCAACUGAAGUAUUGAGAAGAGAAGAACUAUUAAUCCUGAUAAUCCCCUUUCUCUAACACAAAUAUAAUUCUAGCAUAAAGUUCA